rnacentral:rRNA from 1 species
CUCGAGAGUUUGACCUGGCUCAGGAUGAACGCUGGCGGCGUGCUUAACACAUGCAAGUCGAACGAUGAAGCCGAAGCUUGCUUUGGUGGAUUAGUGGCGAACGGGUGAGUAACACGUGAGUAACCUGCCCCUGACUCUGGGAUAAGCCUGGGAAACUGGGUCUAAUACCGGAUAUGACCAUGGAACGCAUGUUCUGUGGUGGAAAGAUUUAUCGGUUGGGGAUGGACUCGCGGCCUAUCAGCUUGUUGGUGAGGUAAUGGCUCACCAAGGCGACGACGGGUAGCCGGCCUGAGAGGGUGACCGGCCACACUGGGACUGAGACACGGCCCAGACUCCUACGGGAGGCAGCAGUGGGGAAUAUUGCACAAUGGGCGAAAGCCUGAUGCAGCGACGCCGCGUGAGGGAUGACGGCCUUCGGGUUGUAAACCUCUUUCAGUAGGGAAGAAGCGAGAGUGACGGUACCUGCAGAAGAAGCGCCGGCUAACUACGUGCCAGCAGCCGCGGUAAUACGUAGGGCGCAAGCGUUAUCCGGAUUUAUUGGGCGUAAAGAGCUCGUAGGCGGUUUGUCGCGUCUGCCGUGAAAGUCCGAGGCUCAACCUCGGAUCUGCGGUGGGUACGGGCAGACUAGAGUGAUGUAGGGGAGACUGGAAUUCCUGGUGUAGCGGUGAAAUGCGCAGAUAUCAGGAGGAACACCGAUGGCGAAGGCAGGUCUCUGGGCAUUUACUGACGCUGAGGAGCGAAAGCAUGGGGAGCGAACAGGAUUAGAUACCCUGGUAGUCCAUGCCGUAAACGUUGGGCACUAGGUGUGGGGGACAUUCCACGUUUUCCGCGCCGUAGCUAACGCAUUAAGUGCCCCGCCUGGGGAGUCSCCGCAAGGCUAAAACUCAAAGGAAUUGACGGGGGCCCGCACAAGCGGCGGAGCAUGCGGAUUAAUUCGAUGCAACGCGAAGAACCUUACCAAGGCUUGACAUGUUCCAGACCGGGCUAGAGAUAGUCCUUCCCUUCGGGGCUGGUUCACAGGUGGUGCAUGGUUGUCGUCAGCUCGUGUCGUGAGAUGUUGGGUUAAGUCCCGCAACGAGCGCAACCCUCGUUCCAUGUUGCCAGCACGUAGUGGUGGGGACUCAUGGGAGACUGCCGGGGUCAACUCGGAGGAAGGUGGGGAUGACGUCAAAUCAUCAUGCCCCUUAUGUCUUGGGCUUCACGCAUGCUACAAUGGCCGGUACAAUGGGUUGCGAUACUGUGAGGUGGAGCUAAUCCCUAAAAGCCGGUCUCAGUUCGGAUUGGGGUCUGCAACUCGACCCCAUGAAGUCGGAGUCGCUAGUAAUCGCAGAUCAUG